AGCAGCUAUGUCAAAUUCAUUACCUUCCCCACCUAAUGACAGACUUCACGCAGAAGCCUGUGAAGUGACAUUGUGACUCAUGGGCCUUGAUCCCCUUCCCUGGGCUUCAAGGAUAAACUUCAUUACAGAAUUAA